UACGGGGGGGGCAAGCGUUGUUCGGAAUUACUGGGCGUAAAGGGCGCGUAGGCGGCUUUUCAAGUCGGGCGUGAAAUCUCCGGGCUUAACCCGGAAGGGUCGUUCGAUACUGUUGAGCUAGAGUGUGGAAGAGGCAACUAGAAUUCCGUGUGUAGCGGUGAAAUGCGUAGAUAUUCGGAAGAACACCAGUGGCGAAGGCGGCUCACUGGCCCGGUACUGACGCUGAGGUGCGAAAGCGUGGGGAGCAAACAGG
rnacentral:rRNA from 1 species